GGCACUAUGGCGGAGUGGUUAACGCGAUGCCCUGCUAUUAAAUUUCCAAAUUGCAGCAGAAUUCUUCUCCUCGUGACAAGGAGAAAGGAAAACUACGCAGUUUAGGCAUUUCCUUCGGGAGCGCAGGUUCGAAUCCUGCUGGUGUCG
rfam:Emmonsia pasteuriana TAMH 9510 supercont1.1196, whole genome shotgun sequence.